rnacentral:rRNA from 1 species
UGAGGAAUAUUGGACAAUGGGCGAAAGCCUGAUCCAGCCAUGCCGCGUGUGUGAAGAAGGUCUUCGGAUUGUAAAGCACUUUAAGUUGGGAGGAAGGGCAUUAACCUAAUACGUUAGUGUUUGACGUUACCGACAGAAUAAGCACCGGCUAACUCUGUGCCAGCAGCCGCGGUAAUACAGAGGGUGCAAGCGUUAAUCGGAAUUACUGGGCGUAAAGCGCGCGUAGGUGGUUUGUUAAGUUGGAUGUGAAAUCCCCGGGCUCAACCUGGGAACUGCAUUCAAAACUGACUGACUAGAGUAUGGUAGAGGGUGGUGGAAUUUCCUGUGUAGCGGUGAAAUGCGUAGAUAUAGGAAGGAACACCAGUGGCGAAGGCGACCACCUGGACUAAUACUGACACUGAGGUGCGAAAGCGUGGGGAGCAAACA